GUAUAGUUGUGUAUUUUCAUAAAAACAGCCUGUAACAAUUUAACGAACUGUGGCUUGUUGACUAUAAAAGUCCUUAUAUAGUGGCGUCCCACCCGUUUUUUAAAUUUUUAUUUUAUAUAUGUGUGCCCCUUAAUCAUUAAGCGUGUAUAGCCAGAGUAGCGAUUACGAGCAGUUCAGAACACUCCCGCUUAUGAUAACUAAUACAGCACAUUUUAAGACAUAGUACAGAAUAGCUUGAGGGUAACAGAGUUAUAGCUUGCACACCCUCAGAAGCAUUUAUAUAUAUAUACUGCUAUCGUGAUCUUUUUCCACACAUCACAGGGACAUCCCUGCAUAUGCAUGGUACAUGUCCACAUUAGAGCUUCAUCACAGGAACAAGUUAGCACCAUGUCCAUAGCCUAGGUACCCUGUGCC